ensembl:lncRNA ERICH2-DT ERICH2 divergent transcript
ACACACCCUCGGAUUGACGUGCGCACGCGCACCGGUUACCUUCAGGAGCGCCGAAGAAGGAAAGAAGACAUGCUCAUCAUGCCCUGCAAACUCCUAUGAACUGGAACUACAGCAGCUGUUCUGCCAGGGACAGGUUCUUCUCUAAAGUUCCAGCUCUCUGGAGGGAGAAAGCCCUGACUUUGGACUGCCAGCUCCGUGACAGCAAGAACCUUGUAUGACUUUUUCAUGAUGGAUGUUCAUCUGUGCCAUCUGUAAAUAUUGAAUAAAUAUUUGUGGAAUACAUGAAUCUAAAAGUGAAUGGAAUGAUAAAGAGGGAAAGGGUCAUGACAUCUACUACAGCAUUUGGCACAGACCCAGGUUUCCCUGGUACUGGUAAUUCCCAGCAGCUUUCUACAAUUCCAAAGCUGUCUGCAGUACUAUCAAGAGAUGACAUGGACUUCAAGGAUCAAACAGGGGAGAAAAAGGCUUAAAAGAAAAACAAGUCUCCAUCAAAGGUAAUAACCACAAUGAGAACUAUACAUAGCUAUGUGCUUAUAGGUCUUAGUUCACAUUCCCCUCAUUAAAAUUAUAGCUCAAGAAAUAAAGGGCUGUUUAAUGACUUGGGUAUAUAAAUAUACUUCAUUUGUAUAUUUUUUACUUGCUAAAAUCUAUCCAAAUUGGUAUUACCUCAAACCAUAAUCUUCUACUGUAUUUUAUAAUUUUACUUUAUUGCCAUGUAUUUUUCCCACUGAUGUUCACAAAUUCACAGGAAACAUCAGCCAUGUACUAAAUAAAAUAUGAAUUGAAUCGACAAAUAGAACUAUAAAUUUAAUUCAAGCACAUGUAAAAUUUAGACCAAAGAAUAAAAAUGUCUAUUAAAAAUA